rnacentral:lncRNA from 1 species
GGGCGGUCUUUGCUCUCACCCCUUGAUUUGGGACGCGUGUCUUGAAAGACAGACGGGAGAGAAAGGACCACCCAGUCGCAGAAGGCAAGGCUAGGAGACGCGCUCGCCCGCCCUUUAGGCAAAGGAGGGAAGCCCGCGUAUUGUGUACUGGGCUCCGAAACAGCCCCGGGGACUGGAAAAGGAACUCCCUCUCUGGGGCAUGAGGCGGAGGGCUGCCAAAGCCAACUAGACUCUCCUGGUGGGGCCGGACGAAGUAGAGAGAGACAGGGGGAGGCAGGAGGAGAGCCUGGAAAUCCCUGCGAGCCCUAGCGGAGAGGUUCCCUGCCCGGGGCGGGGCGCUGGAGAGCUUCCCAGAAACGGAAGGCGUCGGGGAGAACUUAUCCUGGAACUGCUGGACAGCUCCGGGACCUAGAGCGCCCCCUGCCAAACAGCGCCGAGAACCGGACUCUUGGUUCUCCAGAACCAGCACACAGCAGGAGACAAGGGCAGCAGAGCGAGUGUGCCUGUCCACGCUGAAAAGAAGAAAUGAUAGUUUCCUCCCUCAUACACAGCAAAUUGUAUCACUGUGACUGACAACUAUUUUGCCAACAUUUCAGGUAUGUUUUUCAACUUUUUGCUUUUCUAUUCUCUUUAUCCACACAUCAAAUAAUUUUUUUUUUCCUUUUGGCUUGACUACUGUUGCAUCCUGUUUCAUUCUGAAGAUGAUAUGUUAUUUUAAUUGACAAAACCCAGGUGUUCAAAAUAGUAAUUUUAUUUUCUGUACCUCAUAUUCAAUUUAAGACCUCAUUUUUCCCUGAUGAAAAUAUAACUACUGUUAUUGAGUGCUUCCUACGUGUCAGACAUUGUUGUAAGAGAAUCAUCUCACUAAUUCUCAUAUUAGUCCAAUGAGAUACCCAUAUUACAGAGGAAGAAAGUCAGGUACAGAGAAGUUAAAUAUCUUCACUAGGGUCAUAUAGCUGAUAGUGGGAGACCUGGGAUUCAUAUAUAGGUGGUGUGAUGCCAGAGUUGAUUGUCCCAGCCACUCCACUACAGUGAUCUCUUUUAAAAGU